rnacentral:rRNA from 1 species
UACGUAGGGGGCAAGCGUUGUCCGGAAUCAUUGGGCGUAAAGCGCGCGUAGGCGGCCCGGUAAGUCCGCUCUGAAAGUCCAGGGCUCAACCCUGGAAAGCGGGUGGAUACUGCCGGGCUAGAAUCCGGAAGAGGCGAGUGGAAUUCCUGGUGUAGCGGUGAAAUGCGUAGAUAUCUGGAGGAACACCGGUGGUGAAGGCGGCAUCCUGGACCGGUAUUGACGCUGAGGCGCGAAAGCCAGGGGAGCAAACGGG